AAAGGAUCACUAGUAUUUUAUUUAUUUAUGACUGUGGAAUUAUGUUUUUCAAAGAAAAUACUAUUAAUAUUUUCUUGAUGAAAAUUUUGUCAAUAUGAUGUUUCAAGCAUGUAUAUUGAUGUAUGUGUAUUAUUUUGGGUAUUAUACAUAUAAACUGGCACUGUCGUGUUACCUGUCUACAGAUUGAAUACAAAAGGUGUGUAUAAACCAUUAAAAAAAUACAUUCAGUGGCCGAGUGUAUUUAAAACAAAUAUCGUUUCAAGUAAAUAUUCAAUUUCUGACAAUAUUCUCCGAGUAUACACAAGAUACUGGCCGUGUUGGGUGUGUCUGUACUACGCCUUUCCAACAAAGAGUUACCGGCCCCUUUGAUACAGAGCCAGACUUGGAGUCGGGAAAUGUGACGUUCUUACAUAUGUAAAUUCUAGUCAGAGCAGAUUAUAACAGAGUCAAACGUAACUUUCUUCAAUAUCUGAACACGAUGCUACGUUUAACAUCAAUUUGUAUAUUUCCGUUUUAAACUUUGUCUACAGAUCUUUUGUAUUAAUUACCUUUGAAGUUUAUUGUUUCUCAAGUACAACUCAGUGGAUGAGUGCGUUCAAUUCUUUCCCAUUUGAAAUGCACUUGACAGAAUGCAUCUUGAGAGGAUGCUUUGAGUGAAGGGCAGGGUCGUGCCUCGUUAAUCACUAGACAUUAGUUGAUACCCACUAAAGAUGCCGAUCACUUCACCGUACGCCUGUACCCAGCAUAAAAUGUUUGUCACGUCAUUACUGUCUCAGCAAGAAGUCUAGGUCAUUAAAAGUAGUAAGACAGCAUUGAACAGGCGAGCGCUCCAGUACUACAUAUUACAGGGAAAGGAAGAUAACUCUCCUUGUCGAUGACUAGUCAGGAUUCACAAAACAAGCUACACUUCAGUAUGUGAAUUUUAAUGAGAAAUUUGGCAGCUUUUACAUCUACUGUUUCAUACUUUCCAAACUUUAGACAGGGUUCAUUCACUGCCCAGUUCUACAUAGGAUGAUGAUUUGCGUGCUUACAUAUGAUAAAUGAGACAGGGUCAACCAUUACCUCACUUCACCCUUGAACUGUGUGCCUUCAGAUAAAUAUACGAGCUUAGUACUUUUAUAAAAAAUGACGCUAAUUGAUACAUGUAUAGCAAGAUAUAUACAACAAAUAACUUAAUACACAAUGUGGCAUACGUCUGUACACUUCACGGUUCUCCGUCAGUCUGGGGUAUCGCCAAACCACACUACAAACAACCUCUACUGUCACCUGUAAACAUUUAUGUCUGACAGUAGAUAAACGUCAGCUGAUCCCUGUGGAACUUGGUCUACAAGCACACACGAUAGGUACAGGCUAAGUACACCAUAUGGUUGUGAUGUUACCAAAUGCCAAAAGAAACUAAACAUCAAAAAUACUGCAACAAAAAGUUAACCAAUCACAAUGCAUAUUGCAAUGACAGGUUAACCAUUCACAAUGCAUAUUGCUACAACAAGUCAACCAAUCAUAUUGCAUACUGCAAGACAGGUCAACCAAUCAAAAGGCUUGCUGCACAACAAGGUCAAAAGUACAAGUAGUAAAUGUGACACACUUCAGCCUAAUGACUGUCAGACCGAGACUACAACCGAAGAUCUCAGGCUGGCAAGCUUAGAGUUGAUUGGAAGACACAUGCACUUAAUAUCUGUCCAAUCUCUCAAUUUAUUGUAAAUAUUACAAUGGUUAGUUGUCUAUUCUUUGUUUACAAUCAACUGGUUUACUUUGCUUUCAGAAAAGAAUACACAUUCAUUUACAUGUACAUUAUGAAAUAUGCCACCAAUUCCCACAUACAGAUGAUGAGAUAAUCAAAUAUGACAAGAUUUGUUGUUAAAAAAAACCCUGGACAGGUAUUUGUAUUUGUACAAUUAUUCUUUGGAUGACAUUCUUAAACCUUGCAGUUUGUGAAUAAAAAAUAAGUCUCAAUUUGCCCAACACUCAGUAAAAACAUUAUUGAGCAGCAAAUCAUUCAACAAAAAAGAAUAAAUAACAUUUGCAAGGAAACCCCUUCUCUUGGACUAACUCCUCUUAACUACUGUAUAGAUAUGGAUAAAAUAACAAGAUUGUAUAUAACAUGUUAUGGUCACUGAAUGGGGUGGGGGGGAUAACCUAUAAUAAACUAUCAGUGACCUCCUACUAAAUUCUGUCAACGAGUUUAAAUUACAAGUCAGUAAACAAUAUCAACAUGCAUCUACUUGGCAAACAAUAACAUUGCACACUCAGGUUCAGCCAGAGAAAUGGUGAUUUCAGUCUUACAUGCUGACACACG